rnacentral:antisense_RNA from 1 species
UCUUGAAGUUAUGCGCCUGUUAAGGCUAAACUGAAAGAACAGAUUUGGUUACUGCGCUCCUCAUAAGCCAGUUACCACGGUUCAAAGAGUUGCAGCUCUGAGAACCUUCGAAAAACCGCCUUGCUGGGCGGUUUUUUCGU